rnacentral:rRNA from 1 species
UACGGGGGGGAGCAAGCGUUGUUCGGAUUUACUGGGCGUAAAGGGCGCGUAGGCGGUCGUGACAAGUCACUUGUGAAAUCUCCGGGCUUAACUCGGAACGGUCAAGUGAUACUGUCGGACUAGAGUUCGGCAGGGGAGACUGGAAUUCCUGGUGUAGCGGUGAAAUGCGCAGAUAUCAGGAGGAACACCGGUGGCGAAGGCGGGUCUCUGGGCCGAUACUGACGCUGAGGAGCGAAAGCGUGGGGGAGCAAACAGG